rnacentral:rRNA from 1 species
GACGAACGCUGGCGGCGUGCUUAACACAUGCAAGUCGAACGGUGAAAGGGAGCUUGCUCCCUGGAUCAGUGGCGAACGGGUGAGUAACACGUGGGCAACCUGCCCCAGACUUCGGGAUAACGCUUCGAAAGAGGUGCUAAUACCGGAUACGAACUCCUUGGGCAUCCUUGGAGUUGGAAAGUUUUUCGGUCUGGGAUGGGCCCGCGGCCUAUCAGCUUGUUGGUGAGGUAACGGCUCACCAAGGCGACGACGGGUAGCCGGCCUAAGAGGGCGACCGGCCACACUGGGACUGAGACACGGCCCAGACUCCUACGGGAGGCAGCAGUGGGGAAUAUUGCGCAAUGGGCGAAAGCCUGACGCAGCAACGCCGCGUGAGGGAUGACGGCCUUCGGGUUGUAAACCUCUUUCAGUAGGGACGAAGCGCAAGUGACGGUACCUACAGAAGAAGGACCGGCCAACUACGUGCCAGCCGCCGCCGUAA